rnacentral:rRNA from 1 species
UACGGAAGGUCCAGGCGUUAUCCGGAUUUAUUGGGUUUAAAGGGAGCGUAGGCCGGAGAUUAAGCGUGUUGUGAAAUGUAGAUGCUCAACAUCUGAACUGCAGCGCGAACUGGUUUCCUUGAGUACGCACAAAGUGGGCGGAAUUCGUGGUGUAGCGGUGAAAUGCUUAGAUAUCACGAAGAACUCCGAUUGCGAAGGCAGCUCACUGGAGCGCAACUGACGCUGAAGCUCGAAAGUGCGGGUAUCGAACAGGAUUAGAUACCCCAGGGCUGACUGACU